AGCAACCGCAAGCAGCAGAGGCCUCCCUAUAAACACACACACACACACACACACACAUCGUCUUCCCUUACACACUUGCACAGUAAGAACGCCCACGCAUCCGAGAAGGCAACACGCGCGUACGCACAUCGCUUCCCUUCCACCUCUGGCGUGGUCUUUCAUGUCGACGCGCAAAUCAAAAGGAGUCGCAUCCGCCUUGUGAUAACCGACUGCCCGCACGCCCCCCCCCCCCCCCCCCCCCCCCAACGCAGGUGCGCGAACAAGCGCACGUACACACGUGCAGACGCUCACACGCCGCUCGGCAGGCUCUCGUGGCUCUGACACACGUCUGCAUCAUCGCUCGCGCCUUCGCACCAAAGAUGCGGCGGAACACCUUUCUGGCGGACGUGGCUCCCGCCGUGCUGCUCGUCUGCUUCCUAUGUGGCGUGGUGCUCAACACAGCCGCCCACAUAGAGGGGCCUCGCAUGAGCCCAGUGCUGCAGUGCAGCGAGGACUUCUCUCUCGUGUGCGCCGGCUCCACCUCCACGAGGAACUUAUGGGGAUGCAUGAUGAAGAACGCGGACAAGAUCAGCAACGAGUUGUGCAGGGAGUACGUCAUCGGCUUUUACGCGUGCACCAGAGAUGCGGAAAAGCGGGGAAGCUGCGUCUAUCCCGCUGCCGACUACGCCACUUCAGUGCGCCGCUGCCUGCGCACGAUUCCGGAGGACAGGAUAUCCGAGGAGUGUCGGAGCUCGCGUUUUUACUCCCCUAUCGCUGAACUGAUUGCUGCCAAGCGAGGGUACUAAGUGACUGCACGCGCAGCGGCUGUGAUGGUGGCGGUGGCGGGAGGAUUCGCUGACCUGGAGAAUCCGUGAGAGGAAGAGCAGACGCGCCUUACUGUGCAGCGCUGUCUCUCCUCUUUCCCGCUUUCGACCCCCUUCCCGCCACUUGAGCCGUGAAAGAAGUCUGUGGCGCAGGUGGGGGGGGGGCGAUGCAGUGAGCUUGCCUAGCAGCAAGAAGUACACACUCUCUUCCUGCCCUCCCCUGCCCACGCGCAGGCUCUCUGUUUGCCAUCCCGUGGCCCUCCUCUACGAGAGACACAUCCGGCGCUGCCGGCUGUAGCAGAUGCUGCUGCCGGUUGUGAGAUACACCGAUGGGGGCUGGGGCCGGGGCUCUUCCCGCAAACCAGCGCUUCCGCUGUCACGGACGCAUGUCUGCUUGUGGAUCUAUCCUCAUCUCAGCUUUCGUGUGCCUGACGCUACCGGCGGCGGACGUCUCUUCUUCACGGUACGGUGCAGAGCCGAGAGCAAAGGACCGAGCAAAAGAAAUCCGCCUGAAGCGGCAGAGGAUGUUGUGUCUAUGGGCAUGGAGGAUAAGAGGUAAGAGGUGGUGGAGACAGCAGCCAGAGAGAGUGCGUCAUCGGCAUCAGCACCUCCAUCAUCCCUCUCCUGUCUUCGCUUCACCUCCCCACCCGCGGUCCCCCUCUCUCAUUUUGUUUGUUUUCCAUUUUUUCCCUUGUCUUCGUCAGUCUCCCUUUUUCUAGUGCGUCCCACUCGGUGCUCCCGCAUCUCUUCCCCCCUCUCCCUCGUCGUGCUACGGCCCGCACACACCCAUUCACCUUCCUACUCCUUUUCUCAUUGAUGCUGCAAAUCUCUCGUGUCGCCCUGAUCUCAUCAUCGACUUUCACCGCUCUGUAGGACGCGGCAGCCGCAGCGCUUGUCUUCUCGUUUUGUGUUCCUUUUCCUUCUUCGCAUGUCUUCGCGUCUCCGCGUGUGUGACUUCAGCUGACUCUCCAGCGUCGAAGAACUCCGCCCCAUCCGCCCGCCCCACCUCGCCAUGGAAGAACCCCCCGUCACUGCCGGCUGGCCGGCACGCGCCCGCUUCUGCACAGGCCCAACCACACAGACUUCAUCCAGCGCUACCGAUGGCAUCCUCC
rnacentral:misc_RNA from 1 species